rnacentral:rRNA from 1 species
ACGCACGCUGGCGGCGUGCUUAACACAUGCAAGUCGAACGGAAAGGCCCUUCGGGGUCCUCGAGUGGCGAACGGGUGAGUAACACGUGGGUGAUCUGCCCUGCACUUUGGGAUAAGCCUGGGAAACUGGGUCUAAUACCGAAUAGGACCACGCGCUUCAUGGUGUGUGGUGGAAAGCUUUUGCGGUGUGGGAUGGGCCCGCGGCCUAUCAGCUUGUUGGUGGGGUAAUGGCCUACCAAGGCGACGACGGGUAGCCGGCCUGAGAGGGUGACCGGCCACACUGGGACUGAGAUACGGCCCAGACUCCUACGGGAGGCAGCAGUGGGGAAUAUUGCACAAUGGGCGCAAGCCUGAUGCAGCGACGCCGCGUGAGGGAUGACGGCCUUCGGGUUGUAAACCUCUUUCAAUAGGGACGAAGCGCAAGUGACGGUACCUAUAGAAGAAGCACCGGCCAACUACGUG